GGAGAGAGAGGGCGGUAUAUAAAUAAAGGUUUACUUACUACUACUUACUACUGGAAGGAUGUGUCGUGUUUUUUUUUUCUUUCUAGCAGCCUGCAUUCAGCUUCCUGUGUCUGAACUUUCCUCAUUGCCUUUUUUUUCAGCUGGUAAAUUUCCACUUCAAGAUUCCCUCUUGUCUUUCUCUCUUCAGCAGUGGGCGCGACCAAUCAGUGCGCGGAAGCGGCCGGUGCGUACCUGCAGAAAGGGAAAAACUAAACUAAGGGAGAAACAACUUUGCAAGAGGAGAAGCUAUGGAAGUGGCGUCCCGGUACUUGAUGCUAGCGCUCGUUGCGCUCUGUAUUUCUUCCUCUGGCCAGGUCCAAGCUCUCACAUCCUGUCCAAAUUGUGAUGACUUCUCUGUGCCUGAAGGUUCAUCCAAGGUGAUCGCUGCAAAUGUAUCAGCCUAUCCCAAAAUGCUUGUUCUGCAUAAAAACAAUUCUCCUAUUAGUUUGGAAAAAAUUCUGUUCAUAAACAAAGGUCAGAUACAAUUUGUGGAGACUGCAUGGACAGACUAUUUCUAUAUGUCUGGAAAUGAUCUUGCUAUCAAGAAUGCAAACGAAGUGCUCACUGGAUGCUACCAGCUUGCCUAUCAACUUAACGAACUUAGUGUGAAGCAAUUUUGCCUUGCAAUUCUAGGUCCAUGGAAUUGUUCUUCUGAUAGCUUCUCCUUAGCAGAAGGUUCCUCUGAAAAGAUCAUUGCUAACAAAUCCACCAACUCCUUUGAUCUUGCUUUAUAUAAGAAAGUUAAUGUUAGCUCUGACUGGGAACACAUUCUAAACAUAACUGAUGGACACCUGAGCUACAUUAGAGAGGAAUAUAAAAACAAUUUCUUGCUAUCGGAGGACGGCCUUACUCUGAAGAAUGCAACCAAAGGGCUCACUGGAGAGUAUCAGCUUGUUGGGGAAGGUAAUAAGACCUGUGUGCAGCAAUUCUUCCUUAAUGUCACAGGUUCAGGAGCCACCCGUGAUUCUACCAGUUCAGCAAUACCUAUUGGUAUUUUUAUUCUAGUAGUAAUUCUGGCACUAUGUGUGGGAUCCUUUAUAUAUCGCAAAAAGAAAAGAAGAGAAGAAAACAGAAAUGAAUUUGCUCAUCACUCUACAAAAGUGCAGGAUUCUGAAAAUGGAUUUCUGCAGCAUGGAACUGAAGCAACUGAAAUGCAAGGAACUGAAAUGGACAAACAUAGAAGAUACAACAGGGAUCUUUCUCCUAAAAAUGAAGAAGUGCCACAUUCUCACUGUGCGGAGUAA
rnacentral:lncRNA from 1 species